UUAAGCGACUAAGCGUACACGGUGGAUGCCCUGGCAGUCAGAGGCGAUGAAGGACGUGCUAAUCUGCGAUAAGCGUCGGUAAGGUGAUAUGAACCGUUAUAACCGGCGAUUUCCGAAUGGGGAAACCCAGUGUGUUUCGACACACUAUCAUUAACUGAAUCCAUAGGUUAAUGAGGCGAACCGGGGGAACUGAAACAUCUAAGUACCCCGAGGAAAAGAAAUCAACCGAGAUUCCCCCAGUAGCGGCGAGCGAACGGGGAGCAGCCCAGAGCCUGAAUCAGUGUGUGUGUUAGUGGAAGCGUCUGGAAAGGCGCGCGAUACAGGGUGACAGCCCCGUACACAAAAAUGCACAUAUUGUGAGCUCGAUGAGUAGGGCGGGACACGUGGUAUCCUGUCUGAAUAUGGGGGGACCAUCCUCCAAGGCUAAAUACUCCUGACUGACCGAUAGUGAACCAGUACCGUGAGGGAAAGGCGAAAAGAACCCCGGCGAGGGGAGUGAAAAAGAACCUGAAACCGUGUACGUACAAGCAGUGGGAGCACGCUUAGGCGUGUGACUGCGUACCUUUUGUAUAAUGGGUCAGCGACUUAUAUUCUGUAGCAAGGUUAACCGAAUAGGGGAGCCGAAGAGAAACCGAGUCUUAACUGGGCGUUAAGUUGCAGGGUAUAGACCCGAAACCCGGUGAUCUAGCCAUGGGCAGGUUGAAGGUUGGGUAACACUAACUGGAGGACCGAACCGACUAAUGUUGAAAAAUUAGCGGAUGACUUGUGGCUGGGGGUGAAAGGCCAAUCAAACCCGGAGAUAGCUGGUUCUCCCCGAAAGCUAUUUAGGUAGCGCCUCGUGAAUUCAUCUCCGGGGGUAGAGCACUGUUUCGGCAAGGGGGUCAUCCCGACUUACCAACCCGAUGCAAACUGCGAAUACCGGAGAAUGUUAUCACGGGAGACACACGGCGGGUGCUAACGUCCGUCGUGAAGAGGGAAACAACCCAGACCGCCAGCUAAGGUCCCAAAGUCAUGGUUAAGUGGGAAACGAUGUGGGAAGGCCCAGACAGCCAGGAUGUUGGCUUAGAAGCAGCCAUCAUUUAAAGAAAGCGUAAUAGCUCACUGGUCGAGUCGGCCUGCGCGGAAGAUGUAACGGGGCUAAACCAUGCACCGAAGCUGCGGCAGCGACGCUUAUGCGUUGUUGGGUAGGGGAGCGUUCUGUAAGCCUGCGAAGGUGUGCUGUGAGGCAUGCUGGAGGUAUCAGAAGUGCGAAUGCUGACAUAAGUAACGAUAAAGCGGGUGAAAAGCCCGCUCGCCGGAAGACCAAGGGUUCCUGUCCAACGUUAAUCGGGGCAGGGUGAGUCGACCCCUAAGGCGAGGCCGAAAGGCGUAGUCGAUGGGAAACAGGUUAAUAUUCCUGUACUUGGUGUUACUGCGAAGGGGGGACGGAGAAGGCUUUUGGCCGGGCGACGGUUGUCCCGGUUUAAGCGUGUAGGCUGGUUUUCCAGGCAAAUCCGGAAAAUCAAGGCUGAGGCGUGAUGACGAGGCACUACGGUGCUGAAGCAACAAAUGCCCUGCUUCCAGGAAAAGCCUCUAAGCAUCAGGUAACAUCAAAUCGUACCCCAAACCGACACAGGUGGUCAGGUAGAGAAUACCAAGGCGCUUGAGAGAACUCGGGUGAAGGAACUAGGCAAAAUGGUGCCGUAACUUCGGGAGAAGGCACGCUGAUAUGUAGGUGAAGUCCCUUGCGGAUGGAGCUGAAAUCAGUCGAAGAUACCAGCUGGCUGCAACUGUUUAUUAAAAACACAGCACUGUGCAAACACGAAAGUGGACGUAUACGGUGUGACGCCUGCCCGGUGCCGGAAGGUUAAUUGAUGGGGUCAGCGCAAGCGAAGCUCUUGAUCGAAGCCCCGGUAAACGGCGGCCGUAACUAUAACGGUCCUAAGGUAGCGAAAUUCCUUGUCGGGUAAGUUCCGACCUGCACGAAUGGCGUAAUGAUGGCCAGGCUGUCUCCACCCGAGACUCAGUGAAAUUGAACUCGCUGUGAAGAUGCAGUGUACCCGCGGCAAGACGGAAAGACCCCGUGAACCUUUACUAUAGCUUGACACUGAACAUUGAGCCUUGAUGUGUAGGAUAGGUGGGAGGCUUUGAAGUGUGGACGCCAGUCUGCAUGGAGCCGGCCUUGAAAUACCACCCUUUAAUGUUUGAUGUUCUAACGUGGACCCGUGAUCAGGGUUGCGGACAGUGUCUGGUGGGUAGUUUGACUGGGGCGGUCUCCUCCUAAAGAGUAACGGAGGAGCACGAAGGUUGGCUAAUCCUGGUCGGACAUCAGGAGGUUAGUGCAAUGGCAUAAGCCAGCUUGACUGCGAGCGUGACGGCGCGAGCAGGUGCAAAAGAGGUCAUAGUGAUCCGGUGGUUCUGAAUGGAAGGGCCAUCGCUCAACGGAUAAAAGGUACUCCGGGGAUAACAGGCUGAUACCGCCCAAGAGUUCAUAUCGACGGCGGUGUUUGGCACCUCGAUGUCGGCUCAUCACAUCCUGGGGCUGAAGUAGGUCCCAAGGGUAUGGCUGUUCGCCAUUUAAAGUGGUACGCGAGCUGGGUUUAGAACGUCGUGAGACAGUUCGGUCCCUAUCUGCCGUGGGCGCUGGAGAACUGAGGGGGGCUGCUCCUAGUACGAGAGGACCGGAGUGGACGCAUCACUGGUGUUCGGGUUGUCAUGCCAAUGGCACUGCCCGGUAGCUAAAUGCGGAAGAGAUAAGUGCUGAAAGCAUCUAAGCACGAAACUUGCCCCGAGAUGAGUUCUCCCUGACCCUUUAAGGGUCCUGAAGGAACGUUGAAGACGACGACGUUGAUAGGCCGGGUGUGUAAGCGCAGCGAUGCGUUGAGCUAACCGGUACUAAUGAACCGUGAGGCUUAACCUU
rnacentral:rRNA from 1 species